CCUACGGGAGGCAGCAGUGGGGAAUAUUGGGCAAUGGGCGCAAGCCUGACCCAGCAACGCCGCGUGAAGGAAGAAGGCUUUCGGGUUGUAAACUUCUUUUCUCAGGGACGAAGCAAGUGACGGUACCUGAGGAAUAAGCCACGGCUAACUACGUGCCAGCAGCCGCGGUAAUACGUAGGUGGCAAGCGUUAUCCGGAUUUACUGGGUGUAAAGGGCGUGUAGGCGGGGACGCAAGUCAGAUGUGAAAACCACGGGCUCAACCUGUGGCCUGCAUUUGAAACUGGGUUUCUUGAGUACUGGAGAGGGAGACGGAAUUCCUAGUGUAGCGGUGAAAUGCGGAGAUAUUAGGAGGAACACCAGUGGCGAAGGCGGUCUGCUGGACAGUAACUGACGCGGAGGCGCGAAAGCGUGGGGAGCAAACAGGAUUAGAUACCCUAGUAGUC
rnacentral:rRNA from 1 species